CCCGCUGAACUUAAGCAUAUCACGUAUGCAGCGAGCGACAAGACACUAACACGGAUUCCGCUAGUAAACUGCGAGUGAAGCGGGAAAAGCUCAAAUUUAAAAUCUGAGGGUCUUACGGCCUUGCGAGUUGUAAUCUAGAGAAGCGCUAUCCGCGCUGGACCGUGUACAAGUCUCCUGGAACGGAGCGUCAUAGAGGGUGAGAAUCCCGUCUUUGACACGGACUACCAGGGCUUUUGUGAUGCGCUCUCAAAGAGUCGAGUUGUUUGGGAAUGCAGCUCUAAAUGGGUGGUAAAUUCCAUCUAAAGCUAAAUAUUGGCGAGAGACCGAUAGCGAACAAGUACCGUGAGGGAAAGAUGAAAAGAACUUUGGAAAGAGAGUUAAACAGUACGUGAAAUUGUUGAAAGGGAAACGCUUGAAGUCAGUCGCGUUGGCCAGGAAUCAACCUUGCUUUUGCUUGGCGUACUUUCUGGUUAACGGGUCAGCAUCAAUUUUGAUCGGUGGAUAAAGAUCAGGGGAAUGUGGCAUCUUCGGAUGCGUUAUAGCCUCUGGUCGCAUACAUCGGUUGGGAUUGAGGAACUCAGCACGCCGCAAGGCCGGGUUUUUACCACGUACGUGCUUAGGAUGCUGGCAUAAUGGCUUUAAUCGACCCGUCUUGAAACACGG
rnacentral:rRNA from 1 species